CAGGUUUCCCCUUUGCAGGGUGGAUGGGGGCUGGAGGCUGCUCUGGGUUUGCCACAGCUGCCUCUGCUGGAGGGCAGAAUUUAUCUGGGUCUCCUGCCUGCCCAGGGAUUGCUUGGAUUGCUCCCAAAUCCAACAGGGUCCUGGUGCUUGGAAGGAGGGGCUGGAAGCAGGAGCUGGUGCCAGUGGGAAUUGUGUCCAGGUGUCCCCAGAGGGGCAGCAGGGAGCCAGGGCAGGGCUGGUGCUGCAGGAGGUGAAUGCUGAACCCCCAGCCCCCAUCCCACGGCAGCUCCCGGAUUCCCAGGGCUGGGAGCGGUGCCAGGGGAGGGAGCUGGGAAUGCUGCCCCUGUGGGAGUGUGGGAAAGGGCUGGCAGAGCUCUCAUGUGUGCCUGCUUUUUGUCUUCCAGCGGGGCAGAGUCCCUCUCCUCCGAUGAAAAAGAGGUGACACCCAAUGGCAUGGAGGGAUCGGGAUCGGGAUCGGGAUCGGGAUCGGGAUCGGGAUCGGGAUCGGGAUCGGGAUCGGCUGAGGAGCACCCGGAGGGAGAAGCCAGUUCUGAGGACAGCUCCAGCAGCAGCUCAGAAGAGGAGUCAGAUGAAGAACAGGAGGAGAAGGAAUCCCCACCUUACUGCAAUGAGUCAGGAGAGAGCUGCUUGCCACCCUGUGAGCACUGCAGGAAUGAAAAUGACCAGAAGGAGCAAGUGACCCCCAGGAGACUUGCUGGAGGACAAUUCAUGUAUGAAUUUUUUUAAUGUGAUGGGUUUGAGUUUGACUGUUCUCAUCAAGGUGCUCCAGUC
rnacentral:lncRNA from 1 species